GUGGGGAAUAUUGGACAAUGGGGGGAACCCUGAUCCAGCCAUGCCGCGUGUGUGAAGAAGGCCUUUUGGUUGUAAAGCACUUUAAGCGAGGAGGAGGCUACCGAGAUUAAUACUCUUGGAUAGUGGACGUUACUCGCAGAAUAAGCACCGGCUAACUCUGUGCCAGCAGCCGCGGUAAUACAGAGGGUGCAAGCGUUAAUCGGAUUUACUGGGCGUAAAGCGCGCGUAGGUGGCCAAUUAAGUCAAAUGUGAAAUCCCCGAGCUUAACUUGGGAAUUGCAUUCGAUACUGGUUGGCUAGAGUAUGGGAGAGGAUGGUAGAAUUCCAGGUGUAGCGGUGAAAUGCGUAGAGAUCUGGAGGAAUACCGAUGGCGAAGGCAGCCAUCUGGCCUAAUACUGACGCUGAGGUACGAAAGCAUGGGGAGCAAACAGGAUUAGAUACCCGUGUAGUCC
rnacentral:rRNA from 1 species